GAAGGGCUGCGCGGUUCGACAGGCUACUGAAAUUCCCCGCGGCCGAUUACAUUACCUCGGGAGCUGUCCCUGACUGGAGCCGUGGUUCCGGACAUAUGGCACCCACCUGCUUGUUGCAGGUCACGAGGGAUAAGCGGCCACCGGCCAAGCGGCUCUUCC
rnacentral:other from 1 species